UACGGGGGGGCAAGCGUUGUUCGGAAUUACUGGGCGUAAAGGGCUCGUAGGCGGCCAACUCAGUCAGACGUGAAAUCCCCAGGCUUAACCUGGGAACUGCGUCUGAUACUGGAUGGCUUGAAUUCGGGAGAGGGAUGCAGAAUUCCAGGUGUAGCGGUGAAAUGCGUAGAUAUCUGGAGGAAUACCGGUGGCGAAGGCGGCAUCCUGGACCGACAUUGACGCUGAGGAGCGAAAGCUAGGGGAGCAAACGGG
rnacentral:rRNA from 1 species